AAAGCUCUAGUAAAAUUAUUACCAAGCUCUGUCAGUGCUAAAUUAUAGGUACCCACCCCUAUGAGCUUUA
rnacentral:tRNA from 1 species